rnacentral:misc_RNA from 1 species
GAUGAAGAACGCAGCGAAAUGCGAUAAGUAGUGUGAAUUGCAGAAUUCAGUGAAUCAUCGAAUCUUUGAACGCACAUUGCGCCUUCUAGUAUUCUGGGAGGCAUGCCUGUUUGAGCGUCAUUAAACCUCUCUCAAGUAUGAUUACUUGGAUGUGAAGGAAGAGUACCUUAAACUUAAGGAGUGUUCUCCUUUGAAAUUGAUUAGCAGAUGGUAAUGUUAUUAAAUCCCUGAUGUUGUAAGAAAUAACAGUGGUUUUGUAGACUAUUAUCUAGCUUUAUAUUAUAAUUUUUAUUAUGGUUGACCUCAAAUCAGGUAAGGAUACCCGCUGAACUUAAGCAUAUCAAUAAGCGGAGGA